UGAACUUCCCCGUAACAUUACCUAAUCAUUUGGUUGUUGUGUGCAGGGCAUCGAACCCAGGGUCCCACUUGUGCUAAGUAAAGGCUGCACCCUUUACUUAGCUGCUCCACCCUACCCUUUAGAACCCUCCUUUCUCCCCCAGCUCCACCGCAGCGUGAAUUUACUACUUUUCCCCGUUAAGGUGCCUUUCUUGAAAGAUUUAAUAUAUCUUUUCCCUCUGGUAGUGAACUACAUCAAACCUACCUGCAUUUUUGAGGCCUGUAUUUGUGUUUAGAGUUUAGGGUUUUGUUUUGGUGUUUCUUUGUAUUGUUUAGAGGCUGUCCUGGAACUCGUACUGUAGACCCGGCUGGCCUCGAACUCACUGAGAUCGCCUGCCUCUGCCUCCCAAGUGCUGGGAUUAAAGGUGUGAGCCACCAAAGCACGGUGAGUUUAGGGUUUUAUGUAGGCCAGAAGUCUAGUAAUAUUCCACAGCGAUGAGGCAAAUGACCGGAAGGGGCGGGUGAAGUCAUUUAACCUUUUCCAUCAAGAAAGUAAAUCUGGGGUUUAAUCACGGCUCUGGCUGGGUAGACGGAAGCAGGCAGAUCUCUUGAGAGCAAGGCUAGCCUUGUCUACAUAAUGAGCUCCAAGCCAGGCAAGAAAAUGAUGAGACCAUAUCUCAAAGAAAGAAAGGCGCUGGUUGGGCGAUUGUAUGGCAGUGGCAGAUCAAAGGCACCGGGAGAGGAAAUGAGUAACCACGUCUAAAGAACAUCAUAUUUACAGCACUACAGAGUGAGUGUCCGAAGCAGCUGGACACCAGACAAAGAAGGCCAGUCUGUGGCCUGUGACCCACCGGGCUGGAACCUCUGGGCAACUGAGAAAGUGACACAACUCUUCAUAGUUGGUGGGACACCUCUGUAGCUCGCACAAGAGCCACUGCAUAACUUGGGGACGGUGGCACACACUACCUGUAAGCCCAGCAACCAGCAGGCAGAAGUAGGAGGGUCAGGAGUUCAAAGUUACCCUUGGCUAUAGAGCAAUUUGUUGGGCCCUGCACAAUACUUGUGUUCAAAUUUGGUCUGUGAAGUAUCCUUAGCUUUUUAUAUACAUCUGAGUUCUGAUUCCUUUUGAAAAAAUAAAGGGUGCUUGCAGCAAAGGGCAAGUGAGCUGGCUCAGUGGGUAAGGGUGCUUGCUGCAAACACUGACGACCUGAGUUUGAGUCCCAAGUUUCACAUGGUGGAAGGAAAAGGCCCAAUUUCCACAUCAACCUCGGGUUCCUACAUGCAUACAUACCUAGGUGCAUGUACACCACCACACGUGUGUGUCUGCACACAUGUAAACGUGCAUACACACAUGUGUCACUCAGAAAUGUUUUUAAAAAUGAAAAAAUAAAAUCCAACUCUUUGCAUGUUUUCUAGAAA